rnacentral:rRNA from 1 species
UGGGGAAUCUUGCGCAAUGGGCGAAAGCCUGACGCAGCGACGCCGCGUGAGGGAGGAAGGCCUUCGGGUUGUAAACCUCUUUCAGGAGGGACGCGGUACCUCCAGAAGAAGCCCCGGCUAACUACGUGCCAGCAGCCGCGGUAAUACGUAGGGGGCAAGCGUUGUCCGGAUUUACUGGGCGUAAAGAGCGUGUAGGCGGCCAAACAGGUCCGUUGUGAAAACUGGAGGCUUAACCUCCAGACGUCGACGGAAACCGUAUGGCUAGAGUCCGGAAGAGGAGAGUGGAAUUCCUGGUGUAGCGGUGAAAUGCGCAGAUAUCAGGAAGAACACCAAUGGCGAAGGCAGCUCUCUGGGACGGUACUGACGCUGAGACGCGAAAGCGUGGGGAGCGAACAGGAUUAGAUACCCUGGUAGU